rnacentral:rRNA from 1 species
UACAGAGGUGGCAAGCGUUGUUCGGAAUUACUGGGCGUAAAGGGCGCGUAGGCGGUCUUGUCAGUCCCUUGUGAAAUCCCCCGGCUCAACUGGGGAACUGCACGGGAAACAGCAGGGCUUGAGUUCGGGAGAGGGAAGCGGAAUUCCGGGUGUAGCGGUGAAAUGCGUAGAUAUCCGGAGGAACACCGGUGGCGAAGGCGGCUUCCUGGACCGAUACUGACGCUGAGGCGCGAAAGCUAGGGGAGCAAACGGG